GACAAAACAUAAGAGGUCCAGCCUGCCCAGUGACAAAGUUCAACGGCCGCGGUACCCUAACCGUGCGAAGGUAGCAUAAUCACUUGUUCUUUAAAUGAGGACUCGUAUCAACGGCACUACGAGGGCUAUACUGUCUCCUUUUUCUAAUCAGUGAAACUGAUCUCCCCGUGAAGAAGCGGGGAUCAAAAUAUAAGACGAGAAGACCCCAUGGAGCUUUAAACUCACUAUACACCUCUGUGCCUUUAUGCCACUAGACACAAGAGAUCUGCGUACUAGUUUUAGGUUGGGGGGACCACGGAGUAUAAUUUAACCUCCAUAACAAAUGGGCUAACACCCUUAUCUACGAGACACAACUCUAAGAAUUACUAAACUAAUGCUUAUGACCCGAUAUUCGAUCAAUGAACCAAGUUACCCUGGGGAUAACAGCGCAAUCUACUUCAAGAGCCCAUAUCGACAAGUGGGUUUACGACCUCGAUGUUGGAUC
rnacentral:rRNA from 1 species